GUAUUAGUCUUUGGCUUUGUAUCUUCUAACAAGGAAACACUACUUUGCUUUUAAGAUUUGGAUGUGGUUCUAGUUCUUAUACUCAAUCAUACACAUGACAUAUACUCAUAUUUGACUUCAAAACACUAACCAAGCUUCUUCUUGCUUCUCAAAGCUUUGAUGGUGUAGCGGAAAUCCGUAUGAGUCUUUGGCUUUGUAUCUUCUAACAAGGAAACACUACUUAUCUUUUA
rnacentral:sRNA from 1 species